GGCCCAAUGGUCUAGUCGUAUGAUUCGCGCUUCGGGCGGUGUUUCGAGCGUGCGCGAGGUCCCGGGUUCAAUUCCCGGUUGGGCCC